ACGGUCAGAACAGUUGAAGCACCGAUUCCCGUACGGCCACCGAAGUUAAGCAACGUCGAGCUUGGUCAAUACUUAGAUGGGUGAUCACUUGAGAAUAGCAGGUGCUGUAA